rnacentral:rRNA from 1 species
UGGGGAAUAUUGGACAAUGGGCGAAAGCCUGAUCCAGCCAUGCCGCGUGUGUGAAGAAGGUCUUCGGAUUGUAAAGCACUUUAAGUUGGGAGGUAGGGCAUUAACCUAAUACGUUAGUGUUUUGACGUUACCGACAGAAUAAGCACCGGCUAACUCUGUGCCAGCAGCCGCGGUAAUACAGAGGGUGCAAGCGUUAAUCGGAAUUACUGGGCGUAAAGCGCGCGUAGGUGGUUUGUUAAGUUGGAUGUGAAAUCCCCGGGCUCAACCUGGGAACUGCAUUCAAAACUGACUGACUAGAGUAUGGUAGAGGGUGGUGGAAUUUCCUGUGUAGCGGUGAAAUGCGUAGAUAUAGGAAGGAACACCAGUGGCGAAGGCGACCACCUGGACUAAUACUGACACUGAGGUGCGAAAGCGUGGGGAGCAAACA